AUACGUAGGGUGCAAGCGUUAAUCGGAAUUACUGGGCGUAAAGCGUGCGCAGGCGGUUUUGUAAGACAGUGGUGAAAUCCCCGGGCUCAACCUGGGAACUGCCUUUGUGACUGCAAGGCUAGAGUACGGCAGAGGGGGAUGGAAUUCCGCGUGUAGCAGUGAAAUGCGUAGAUAUGCGGAGGAACACCGAUGGCGAAGGCAAUCCCCUGGGCCUGUACUGACGCUCAUGCACGAAAGCGUGGGGAGCAAACAGGAUUAGAUACCCUGGUAGUCCACGCCCUAAACGAUGUCAACUGGUUGUUGGGUCUUCAUUGACUCAGUAACGAAGCUAACGCGUGAAGUUGACCGCCUGGGGAGUACGGCCGCAAGGUUAAAACUCAAAUGAAUUGACGGGG
rnacentral:rRNA from 1 species